GCUGAGAGAUAAAAUUUGGAUACAGGUUUAGCCUAAAUCUCUUAUCUCUCAUACCCAGCCCUAAUUCCAGCCCCAAAUCUCUCAUACCACGCCAUCGAGAGCGGCGUCACUUUCCUCGACACCAGCCUCCUUCCCUUGUACUCUCCUCCAAAAUUGCACCCUUUGCUCUUUAUACCCUCUUUGUUUCUGUAUACCCUUUCGAAGAAGGAGAAGAAGAAGCUCAACAACUUCAUCAAUGGCUUCUACUAGCUGCAACGACAAUGGCCUAUCUCCUCGCCCGAAAUGGUAAAGCCCAUCAAACCCCAAUUUCUCUUUUACCUCCAUUUAAUCAAUUUUUCAUCUCAACCCAACAUUUCUUCUGAUUUUGGAUUCACUUCUUCAACAAUUAGUGUCCUUUCGUAUUACCCUGAAGAACAAUUUAAAAUCUUCAAAUUGUUUUGGAUUUUCAUGAAAUUUACUCUGAGCAGGUUUUAGUUUUGGAUUGAUUUGUGUUUAAAUCAUUUUUUUGUUGUCAAUUUAUUCAGUUCAGGCUGUGAUUAAUUAAUUCGAAUUGGCUGGGAAGGAACCACAAGGUUACCGAGCGUCAGCUCGAAGAUGCCUUUGUCCGUUUUGGCAAAAUUAUCGAUGCUCAGGUCCCCUCUUUUCUUCAUUUUUUAGUUUUUACUUUUUAUAUCUUGGAUGAUUAUUAUACUUCUCCUUUUCUGGUUGGUUAAUGCGUAUAAUUGGAAUUUGGUUUUUAUGUUCAUAAUUGUGCAUCAAUCCUACAAAGAUCGAAUGAUUCCUGUUUUAUCCCCUCAAAUUUUUGAGGAAAAAGUUUAAUAGAAAAUAUUAUAUCUGGGUUUAUUUAUUCUGUGAUUGAUGUGUGUGUAUAUAUAUAGAUAUUUAUGGGUAAAAGUAUGAACUCUGCUUCAUUUUUGAGAGCAUAAAUGAUUAUAAUUAAGCUGAAAAUUGAAAUCUUGUUUAGUCUUUUUACCCCACUUUUUGUUUUUUGUUUUUUUUAACUCAGUAAAAUUUCAAAUUUCAAUUUUUUAGAUUAUUUGUGAUUAUUAAUUUUCAUUUUUUGUAGAGAAAUCAGAUGAGAUAAAUGAAUGAAAUUUGGGCUUGUGUUAUUUUAUUGUUAAAAAUUGGAGAACUGUGAACCUGCAUGGCUUUCAUAGUAACCUGCAUGACAUAAGGACUUUAUUGUAUUUUCAUUUGUAAAUGUAUGAGAUUCGUACUAAAGUGUAUGAUGAAUACACUUUGUGUUUUGUAUAUGUUAUGUUGAGUUAGUAUAUGUGCCUAUGUGGUUCUGUUUUCUAUUAUUCUUUUUGUCUCUCUUUUCUUUUUCUCCAUCGCUGAUUGAUAUAUUAAUUAUCUCUCUUUGUUUGUGAUUUUUUUGGAAUGCUGGUAUGAGCUCAGUGUUAUUUGUUGGUAAUGUUGAGAUUCUAAGUUUUGAAGCAACUUAUCUAUGGAGAUGGUCUCUAUAUGUCUGAAAAGGCAGAUUGAGCUGAAGGCCAGAUUCAUCAGAGUCUGUUCAAUCGGAACAGUUCUUUCAUUUUAUAAUAGGAUCUGUGGUUUUGGCAUCCAUUAGGAAAGACCUGUUAUAAGAUUGGACCUCCAAUGCUGGGUGAAGGUGGCUAAUCAGUAAGACAUGUGCUGUAGAUAACUUCCAAGUAACUUUUCCCUUUUCAACUCUUCUAAAAACAGUUCAUUGAAAAGAAGUGAAGUGGUUUGAAUGAUCCAGAGCUGAACCUAAGUUGGGCAUUGUUGAUCGUGUCAUCUGAAGCUAAAUAUAAAUCAAUUAAUAGUUGUAAAGGUUCUCUGUAAAGAGUCUAGGAGGUAUCAUAAAUUCUUUGAAGGUAUGUAAUGUUAUCGGCAUGCACAGUCUUCAACAAGACUGCUGCAUCAUUUUUUGAUAAUUGGGCAAAAAGCACUUUUAACCGCCUGUGGUCGUCGACUUGUAAGCAAUUGGUCACUGAACUUUAAAAAAUUGCAAUUAGACCACUGUGCUUUCUAAAAUAAUUAAUUUUAAAAAUAAAAAUAAAAUAAUUAAUUUUAAAAUAAAAUAAUUAAAAUAAUAAAAUUAAAAUAAAUAUUUGGAAUUAAUGAUUACUAAUUAAUCAUUAACUUGUAAAAUGAUUAUUUUAUUUUUAUUUUAAAAAUUAAUUAUUAAUCAUUUCGGUUAAAAAAAUCAUUAACUUGUAAAAAAAUCAUUUUUGCCACAUAAAAAAAUUCUGUUUUUGUUUUUAAAAAAUUAUAUUUUUACAAAAUUCUAUUUUUAAAAAUUUUGUUUUUAAAAACAAAAAGAGAAAUUUUUUUAACUUGUAAAAUAAAAUUUUGUUUUUAAAAAAUUUUGUUUUAAAAAAAAAUCUGUUUUUUAAAAUUCUGUUUUUUUAAAAUUCUGUUUUAAAAAAAAUCUAUUUUUAAAAACAAAAACAGAAUUUUUUUUAUGUGGCAAAAAUGAUUUUUUUUACAAGUUAAUGAUUUUUUUAACCGGAAUGAUUAAUAAUUAAUUUUAAAAAUAAAAAUAAAAUAAUCAUUUUACAAGUUAAUGAUUAAUUAUUAAUCAUUAAUUCCAAAUAUUUAUUUUAAUUAUUUUAUUUUAAAAUUAAUUAUUUUAUUUUUAUUUUUAAAAUUAAUUAUUUUAUUUUAAAAUGAAUUAAUUAUUAUUUAUUUUAAUUUUAUUAUUAUUUUAAUCAUUUUUUGCCACAUAAUCAAUGAUUUUUUUUUUAUUUUUUUUUAUAUUGCCACAUAAGAAAAUAAUAAUAUUUUGAUUUUUUUUUUCAAUUCCACGUGUGUAAUUAUUUGAUUUCCGUCCAAGAAAUUGGACGAAAUGGUCUGAAUUUUCAGUUUUAGAAGCAUAGUGGUCCAAUUGCAUAUUUUUAAAGUUCAGUGGCCAAUUGCUUACAAGUCGACGACCACAGGCGGGUAAAGAUGCUUUUUGCCUUGAUAAUUGAUUAAUCCAUUCUUGCAACGUCAAGAGGCAGGCAUAAAUCUGUUGCACGAUGCCAAAUUGGUCAGUCAAUUAACUAAUAUACUAGGUAAAGGCAUAAACGUAACCAUAUAUAAUGGACAGUUAUGCAAUUUUAUCUCUUUAUAUCAUAUGUAUUGUUAAACUGAUGGAAUUUGGACUGAUUUAUGAGAAUUAGUAAUUACCUAGAAAUCGAUCGCGACAAAUCUGUAAUUACUUCAAUCAUCACUCAAUAUCCUAAAUUGAUGUUUUUAUUUUUUGAUUUUGAUUAUCUGAUUUUGUUAUCUAAAUCUAUGAUCAAUUAAACAGGUUGAGGUCAGAUUCAAAUCCUCCUUGUUUCUCCCUCUAUAUCUAGCUAUAAAUACACAUAUGAGUUAUGACUGUAUUUUUUUUGUAAGUAUGCAGAUUUACAAUGUUUGUUUUAUGUAAUACGCAGACGCAAGUCCACUGCAGUGACAACAACUGCUGUACAACGGGAAGGAGAUAAGGAAUACUGAGAGACUGAGUGCUCUUGGUUUAUCUGAAGGAGAUUUAGUUAUGAUGGUUUCAAAUUCUUCUUCUUCUAGGUAUUAUAAUUUGCAAUUUCAUAUUUUCUUAUUUUCAGUAUUAUCAGCUAAAUGUUGUACAAUAUAACCCGGGAAUACCAAAUACCAAAACACUGAAACCAAACACUUUAAAAUUUUUAGUUUUCAAAGACAUUCAUAAAAAUAGUUACUCCUCCUUUGUUUUAGGGUAUGAUAUUGAGGGCAUCUUAUUUUAAUUCUGGGAAUAACUGUCUUUUAUGUUCAAGUUGAACUUAAAAAUUGUCAUAACAUUUAGCAAAAAAAUAAAAAUAAAUUGUUACAACCUCAUUCAUAAUAAUUUGUUAUAAAUUUCAAUAUAAAAAAUACUAGAUUUAUAUUAUUAACAAUUAAUAAAAAGCAAUUUUUUUGUGAAUAAAUAUGUUCAAUACAUUGCCCCUUCUAAAUACCUGUAUAAAGAAGCCGGAAGGUAGCAACUACAGAGCGCCGGUCCCUUUUCCUACAUUUUCUCUCCAAAAAUACCGAUUUAUUUUUCCCGGAGAGAGAAAAUAUGAGUUCUGUGAACCAUAAAUGCGAAAAUUCUACGGACCAGAGGUUCCUCUCUCUCUCUCUCAUGUUUUGGCUAUGUACCCACAUAUAUUUGUUGAAUUAGGAGUUAAUAUUCAAUGGGUUCACUUGUGAAUUUAUGAGGGGAAGAAGUAAGUACCUCUUUUGGUUUGUAAAAAAAGAUAGGCUGUUGCAAAAUGCAAAACCCACUAGAAGAUUAACUUGAAAUCAACUAAGGUAGAUUGAUUGCAAUCUUUUGGUAAAAUGUGUUUUUUUUGUUUGUGUGUGUCCUCUACCAGCAAAAAGGUUAUCAUUAAUCUUAUUUUAAAUUGGAUUACUACACAAUUGUAUUUUCUUCAAUGCAAAAUUUUGGGGGACUUUCUUAGAGAAUUACUAUCUUAUAUAUUACAGUCACUACUUGGGAUUAUGUAAUUACAAGUGGAACUUUUGUAUUAUGUUCUUAGCAGCUAAUUCAUAGAAGAUGUGGGGUUUACUGGCUAAAAUUUAAUUUAAUUUAUGUUAAUUCGUUAGCAUUUGUUUGAGUACUUCUAUUGCCUCUAAGUGAAUGGAAUAAACUAUGAUUUUUUUUAUUUGAAUAACUAAACGAAGGUUGUCGUGAAAACCUGAUAGUACUUUCAAAUUGCUUACAUUAACCUACAAACUUUACAUAUACAUCUUAAACAAAUGCAUAUUGUAAUCGGCUAAUCGCAUUGUUUUUAUUUAUUUUUUAUAUAGAUAUAUGUAUUCUGGCUAUACAAUAUUAUUUAUUGACUUGAGUUGUGCAUGUGGUGUAGGGGAAAGCAGAUGUUGUCUUUAAGACGCUUGAAGUAGAUUCAACUUUGAACUUGCAAGUAAAAAUUGAAAAUCAUUAAAUUCAUGAAACUUUCCUAUCAGUUUCUGUGAAAUUUGAAUAUUAAGAUUUUGCUUCAUAUGAUAAAACAGGAUGUGCAAGGACUUGGUAUCGAUUUUUGUGUUUGGUAUCGGUGUUUUGGAAUUUGGUAUCGGUGUUCGGUAUUUGGUGUUGGGUAUCUAUCUAUAUCUAUAUAAUAAAAUAUAACCAAAUUUCAAUUUAUUCCCACUUUAAAAUUUGAGAAACCACAAUAGUGGCUCAGAUUUAAUCUCAAUUCAUCUGACUUAAUCUAAAGGCUCAAAUUUCAUUUCACACAAAAACAAAAAAUAAAAACCGCCCAAAUCAUAACCCCACCUACACUACCCAAGUCCCGCCUCCUUCCCUUGUACUCUACCCAAGUCAUGCCUCCUUCCCUUCUAAUUACACCCUCUGCUCUGUAUACCCUUCCAAAAACUAUUCCCUCCCCUCUUUGUCUCUUUCUUUCGGAUUGAGGUAACGCCACCCUCUGCUUUGUAUACCCUUUCGAAGAAAGAGAAGAAGCUCAACAACUUCAUCAAUGGCUUCUACUAGCUGGAACGAUUCAUGAACUCACUCCUUGCCCGAAAUGAUAAAACCCCUCAAAACCCAAUUUCUCUUUUACCUCCAUAGGCUUUUUCAUCUCAACCCAACAUUUCUUCUUAUUUUGUAUCUGAAAUCUGAUUUUAUAUGCUAAUCAUUUAGUUUGAAAAAAAAGUGAUUUAAAAUAUUUGGGCGAGAAUUGAAGGGGAAAGGAUUAGCUAAUCACCAUCAAAUUGAAUUCACAGUGUUGUUGACAAUUAGUACACUAAUACUCGACGACACUUGAAUCCAAUAUAUUUGAUAAUCAGACUCUGUUUCAGUUCAAGUAUAUACCAUCAUUCUUCUCUUUGAUUUGGAUUUAUCUUUCAAUGUAAUCAAUCUAUUAUGUAUGUUUAUAUUUAUGAAAAGCAAUUCAUUUGUUGCAUCAUUCAUUUGUUAUAUUUGGUGUUUCUAUUGGUGGGUUUUUUGAAGUUGGAUUUGGGAAUUGGUAAUUACUUGCUGCUUCACUGGGGGUUUUCAGAUUACUGUUUGUGAUAUUUUAGGUAAAUGUAUGUGGUUUAUUUAAGAAGGUGAAGUUUGAAUUGCACGGAUGAUGUAUUUGAUACUUGAAUUUUUUUGGGAAUUAGUGACUGGGGUUUAUGGGUUGGUGUUUGGAUUAUGAUUUGGUAAUAUUUUAGGUAAAUGUUGUUUAUUUAAGAAGUUAAAGUGUUGUAUUGUAUUAAAAGUACUUAAUUCUCGAAUGUUUUGUGGGGGUUCUUGAAUGUUUUGUGGGGGUUCAUGAAUUGAAGUUAGUUAGAUUUUAAUUUAGUGACUUUAAGGUGUCUACUUAAUUGGGAUGCGAAUGAUUAAGAAUGCUUUUAUUUAAGAAAGGGUAGGCAUCAUGCUUUUAAAUUUGAGUGUGAUACAUACUAUAACGGAGUUUGAUUACCGAAUUGAAAGAGUAAUACUCUAGGAAAGGGUAAAAUGCAAAUGUGACCACUGAACUUUUUUUGGGUAUUGAGCCUUUUUCUUUUGGUCAACGCAAACUGAGCCCGUUUUUGUUACAAAAUUUGGAUAUUGAACCCCUAGGUGCCACAUGUGCGUUGACCGAUGACGUGUCACACGUGGCGCCUACGUGGCAAAUCUGACAUGGAUAUUUUAUAUUUUAAUUUUACACAUCAGCAACGCUGACGUGGCUUCUUUUGAAAUUUUUCUAAAAAUUUGUCUAUCCACUGAUUCGAACUCAUAACCUCACAGUUAAAACUUUAGUCAUACUACCGCUCGAACACCACAAGCCUAACUACUAACAUUUCGCAAAGAUUAAUCUUUAUAUCAAAAGAUUUCAUUUCUCCCCAAAAAAAAUUAAAAUACUGUAAUUCCUCCCUCCCUUCCUCCCCAAAACGCCGAACUCAGCACUUAACAAGAACUGGAAAAAAAUAAAAUAGGAAAAAGGAAUAAUAAUAAUUAUUAUUAUUAUUACUAUUAUAGUUAUUAUUAUUAUUAUUCUUAGUUGAGUCAUGCAAACCGAAAAUUUGGACCGUGGAUCCCAUACCCAAUAAAAUUAGUAAUAUAAUAUUAAUUUUUAAUAUAAUUAUUUCAUUGUUUCCUCUCAUCCUCUCACACAGCCUUAAAUAAUGAGAAUUGAUAUUUCUAAUAUCAAAUUUCCUUAUAAAAAUAUCAAUUCUAUCUUUACUUGUUAGCAUCUACUUGUUAUUAGCAUCUAGCAGCAACAACCAUACCAAAAGUAUAAUUUUUUCUAAAGAUUUGGUAAGGAUCAUCCGACUUGCGAUCCACCCGUAAUUUGUUGAUGGCAAUCAAAUUGCAGAUUGUAUUAAGGAAUUAGAGAUGGAAAUCCAUUUUCUCUGUCCAAAGCUUCAUAUCAUAUAUUAUAAAUUAUGUGGGUCUUCAUCCAAAACUUCUUUCCCCUCUCUGAAGCUUUUUCUCUCAAAUCAUACAAGCGGGUCUUCAUCUUCACCCAAUUAAACCAAAAAAACCUGUAUUUAUUUUAAAGAAGGAGAAAAAACAGAGCAAUUAAUCAUAUGUCCAAUCUGGCCGCCCUGACCUCGCAAUUAGGCUCGGUGACUUUCACAAUCAUCAAUCUUACACCAACAAAUUCAAUGCGAGAAUUAAAUACCCAAAUCACAAAUUUCAUAAUACAGAAUGGAGACUAACUCAGAAUCCCCAAACUACAGAACCCUAGAAGGAGAAGACGAAGACUCAGAAAAUUCCCCAAAUAAACGACCCAAAACCCUAACCCUAAAUUCACCUUCAUCCUCCAAAAUUGAAGACGAAUUGAACUUCCACAGCUGCGGAAUUUGCUUAUCGGAAGAGGGAAUCGAUAGCUGCGACCAUUACUUCUGCUUCGUAUGCUUCACCUUCAUCCCACAUGUGCAAGCGGCGGUUCGUCGCCAUUCGCCGCCCUCCUAAGGACGGCGUGUUUCCGGCCGAACGAAUUGUUAAUGUCCCGGUCUCUAUCUCAUUUCGUUCUUUCGAUCUUCAUCUGAGACUUAGCAGAUCCAAAAAAGUGGUUUAAUUUGAAUAAACAUCAUUCCUGAUGUCUUUGAUGUCUUUGAAUCUGGCCGGAUUGUUAUUGUUAUUAUUAUUAUUAUUACUAUUAUUAUUAUUAUUAUUAUUAUUAUUAUUAUUAUUAUUAUUAUUAUUAUUAUUUAAUUUGGGGGAAAUUCUUUGUUCGGUUAUAAAGUAUAAUUCUUGCGAAAAUAUAGUAGCUAACCCGUGGUGCUCGGGGUGGUCAAGUGGAUUGAAAUUUGAGUGGAAGGUCUGGAGAUCGAAUCUGAGCAACAACAAAUAUUUUGGGUUAAAGUACAAUAUGGGCCACGUCAUAUAUGCCACAUGUAAAAUAAAAAAAAAAAAAACCCAUGUCAGAUAUGCCACGUAAGCAAGUCAACGCAUAUCUGGCAAUAGGGGCUCGAAGUUUUAAUAGAAAAGGGCUCAAAAUGCGUUGACCAAAAGAAAAUGGCUCAAUACCCAAAAACCCCUAAAGUUCGGUGGUCAACCUUGCAUUUUACCCCUUUAGGAAAUGAUAAAAUAACACGCUUUAUUUAUGUGAGAGUUUGGUUGGUUGCUGCAAAGCCAAUAGAAAAAGGAAAUGAAAUUUUUACAGUCUACAUAUAUUGUCAAGGAUGUUAUCGAAUCAAAUUUAGUUGUGAUUCGAACUGUACAACAAUUUCUCGAGUUGACUAUUUAAUUUAAUUUGUUUUAUUAAUUGUAAAACAGUUGUUGAGUUGACUAUUUGGUCUUGGGACAUAUAUGUGUGUGUGCGCGCGCGCACAUUUGAUAAUCAGGUUGAAGGAAAAGGGAAAACGUGCACCAUUUCCAAAGGAUUGCGUGCAAAAGGGAAAUCAAUAUGAAAGAUAACCUUCAAAAAGUGCACCAUUUCCAAAAUUCUAUACAUGUAAAGAAAAUUAACAAUUUUAAAAGUAAUUUAGAUUUCAGCUUGACUGGAAAUUACGUGUUUCGACUAUCGUACAGUAAAAAGGUGUUGCCUUCAAGUCCCAAUUCACAUAUAGGUGGGUAUGAUACACAUGGAUUGAUAAUUUAUCAGAGGUUUUUUGGAUGAAAGUAGAAAUAUUGAUUUGAAGGAAUUUGUUUUCAGUUUUUUUGUUUUCUUUAAUUAACUUUUGAUGAUAAUUUAACUUGCUGCAUUUAAAGAGAGUCCACCUGAUAUGUAACUCUUUUCAUUCAUUAAAACUUGAAUGUUUGACUGGCUUAUAGGCUCUAUACACCUGCUGAAUAAAGCAAUGGAAAGAAAAACUGAAAGAACAUUUGGAGGAAAAGCUAUAGCACAAAUUGGUAGGAAAAUUUCAAAUAUAACUCAACAAAGACUUAUCCAUUUACUAGGGGUCAGCUUCACAUUUAACUCUUUGCAGUUAAGGAAGCGUUUUAGGGUAUGUAUAGUGGUAGGAAUUUAAUAUGACGAAGAAGCCGGAAGUUCGGAUGCAGUUUUUGGAUUCCUUUGAUUCUCUAUUAAUUCAUUCGGGUAUGUAUUAUUUCAUUUCAAGAAUUAUGGUUUCUUGAAUUUAUAUUUGGUUACUAAAAUCUCUGUAACCAUGGCCUUUCCUUAUGUCUGUUGUGUUAUCCCUGUCUCAUGUUUGUUCAAUGUUGAUGAUUCCUAUCGGGGCUUUGAAAUAGUUAGUGCCCACUCAAGGCCAUCUGUAUAUUGGGGUUGGGUAGCAUCUCAGAGAAUGAAUCGCUUUUUUUCCUCAUACUAAUAAAACAAUGGGAACUAUGUCAAAUUUUGAUUAAUUAGAUCAUAAUCAGGAAUUUCAAUAUGCUACUUGAACAAAGUAAAAACGGGAGGGAAAAAACAACCCUGUACGAGUCUAGAGCAGGGCUUUAACCAUGAUAAUUUUCCAAUUUUGGUUAGAAAUUCCUCUAAAAGCAUAAGCUCAUAUUAGCUAACCAUUUUGGUUCAUAUUAGCUAAGCAGUAGGUGUAAAUCCUUUGAACAUUAGUCUGCAACAACCACUAUCGUGAUAAAACCCAACUAACCAAGAUUUACCAAUACAUGAAAAAAUGAAGACAACCAAAACAGAUGCUAGUUUCUGUUUCAAGAGUAGUAAACAUGCUAAAAGCGUACUUCAUUUUUGUUUAGCCGAUUGAAGACAAUUGUACAUCUCAUUUUUGUUCAAGAACUUAACAAUACAAGAAAGCUAAGCACAAUUUGUGGGGAAACAUUAAUAAAAUAAUCUAAAUUUGCAGGCGAAGGAUCAGAACCAUAUCUGUAAAUUGACUACUUUACGAGAAGCACGUGUUCUAGUGACAACCCUUUUUUCUGGAUUGUAAAUAACAAAAUCAAGUGAGCUUCCGGCCUUCCACCUUACUUCUAUACAUUUGCUUAUUUAUUAGUAGUACAUACAGUUCACCAUGU
rnacentral:lncRNA from 1 species